GUACUCCCAUGGAAACCAGUUACUUAAAGGAGAGCAAAAAACAGAGUACAUUGUUGCCAAACAAUCAACAAUAUAGAUAAAUAAUUGGGAAAUUGUUAUACAUCAUCACUGUCACAUUACCCGACAUUGCAGCAGCGAUUGGGAUCUUAUGCAGGAAGGUCUCAGCGGCACCUGGAAUUCAGCAAAGAGGAUCAUAAGUUACCUAAAAGGAACUUUACACCUUAAGCUUCGACUUCCAGCAACUUCUGAAUGCAACCUAACUGGAUAUGUGGAUGCAGAUUGGGCUGGAGACAGUUAUGAUAGAAAAUCUACCAGCGGUUAUGUGUUUUUGCUUGGAGGGGGACUAAUCAGUUGGGCCAGCAGGAAACAAGUUUCAGUAGCACUUUCUUCUACAGAAGCGGAAUACAUCACAGCUGCACAAGCUAGUCAAGAAGUAAUCUGAUUACAAUGCCUGUUGAUGGACUUCGGUCAAUGUCCAUGAGAACCCACACAAAUCUUGGAAGAUAAUCAAGGGUGUAUUGCACUUGCACAAACUGAGACAGUUAACCCUAGAACCAAGCAUAUAGAUGUGAAGUAUCACUUCCUGAAAGACUUAAAGGAACAAGGACUCAUAGACCUGGAGUAUUGUCUGAGAACAUGAUGGUGGACAUUCUUACUAAGCCUUUAGUCAGAGAGAGGCAUUGUAGGCUGUCAAAGAAUCCGUUGGCCGGAGGUAUAUCUUCAAGAAAACUUCCCAGAUUCCUGCUUUAGACAUUUCAGGAUUAGCCUGGAAGCAUGGCAGUUCUUCUAACAUGCAGGUACAAAGUGGUACAGAAAACCCCUGACCUUGUGUGAUAUGUUUUAUUGUGCAAUGUUGUUUAUUGUCAUCCUGUUGUUACUGUUAUGCUCACUGAUUAAAUUUUUAGUAUUCCUA